UGUAGCUCAGUGGUAGAGUGCAUGCCUAGUAUGCAUGAGGCCCUAGGAUCAAUCCCCAGCA
rnacentral:tRNA from 1 species